rnacentral:rRNA from 1 species
GACAGAGGGUGCAAACGUUGUUCGGAAUUACUGGGCAUAAAGAGCACGUAGGCGGCUCGCCAAGUCGCGCGUGAAAUCCCCCGGCUCAACCGGGGAAUUGCGCGGAGAUACUGGCGGGCUUGAGAUCGGUAGGGGUGAGUGGAACUCCAGGUGGAGCGGUGAAAUGCGUAGAUAUCUGGAGGAACACCGGUGGCGAAAGCGACUCACUGGACCGACACUGACGCUGAGGUGCGAAAGCUAGGGUAGCAAACGGG